UACCUUAGAAAUAGUUUCAUUGGAGAAUUUAUUUUCUCUGUCAACAUAUUCUUUCAUAAACUCUUUAACAUGGGUCUGAAAGUAACGGGACGCUUCCAAAUGCUUCUUGUUACAUUGCAUAAGUUCUACGCACACCUGUUUGGUCAAAUCAUUUAAGGGUGCACAUUGCUUAAUCGCUUUAAUUGAUUUCGUCAAUUUUGCUAAUUUUGCAGCAUAUUCCAAUUCCAAUGAAAUUCUUUAUAAAGUAGAUUAGUCAAAGUUUGAAAUGAAUUAUUACACAUUUGUGUCAGUUCGAAAUAUAAUAAGGAUAACCCAUCAUUAAAAAAAUACUUAAAAAUUAAUGAUUCGAGAGUAUCAAAUGGAAUAAGAUGCUUCUCUUCGAAAUUAAUUUAAGCUUCAACUUACCUUUGUUCAACAAGCUGCUGCCAAUUGUUAAGCGCCUCAGUGCUGAUUUCUGUACUGUACUCGUUUGAAGAAAACGAAUUCAUUAUGGGGGUAUCUCUUUCUUAAGUUAAUUCGUAUAAUUCAGCUUAAUGAGACAUUCAUUGUUUUUUUUUGAGUUGGUAAAGCAUGCGACACUGUCAAGUUUCCAACGCGCAUUAAAUUUGAAGUAACAGAGGUUAAUGCUGUUAUACUAUGCCGAGGGCAG